GAUGAACGCUGGCGGCGUGCCUAAUACAUGCAAGUCGAGCGAACGGACGAGAAGCUUGCUUCUCUGAUGUUAGCGGCGGACGGGUGAGUAACACGUGGAUAACCUACCUAUAAGACUGGGAUAACUUCGGGAAACCGUAGCUAAUACCGGAUAAUAUUUUGAACCGCAUGGUUCAAAAGUGAAAGACGGUCUUGCUGUCACUUAUAGAUGGAUCCGCGCUGCAUUAGCUAGUUGGUAAGGUAACGGCUUACCAAGGCAACGAUGCAUAGCCGACCUGAGAGGGUGAACGGCCACACUGGAACUGAGACACGGUCCAGACUCCUACGGGAGGCAGCAGUAGGGAAUCUUCCGCAAUGGGCGAAAGCCUGACGGAGCAACGCCGCGUGAGUGAUGAAGAUCUUCGGAUCGUAAAACUCUGUUAUUAGGGAAGAACAUAUGUGUAAGUAACUGUGCACAUCUUGACGGUACCUAAUCAGAAAGCCACGGCUAACUACGUG
rnacentral:rRNA from 1 species